rnacentral:rRNA from 1 species
UUUAAUUAAAAUUAAAAGCGACGGGCAAUAUGUGCAUAUUUUAAAUUAAAAUUUAAAAUAAAUAUUUAUUUAAAUUUAUUAUUAAAUCCAAUUUAUUAAUAAUUUUACAAUUUAUUAAUUCAUAUAAUUUUAAAAUAUAGUAUUACAUUAAUAAAUUUAAAUAUUAAAUAUAUUAUGAUUUGAAAUACUAAUAAUUAUACUAAUUAUACUAAUUAUCAAUUAUUCAUAAAUAAUUUAAACAACAAUAUAUAAUUUAAUAUAAUUUAAAUAAAUUUUAUUGUGGAUUAUCAAACUAAAAAACAUAAUCCUCUAAUUUUUAAAAAUACUACCAAAUUAUUUAAUUUUAUUUAUAAAUAUAAUAAUUAUUUAUUUUAAAAUACAUUUUAAAAUAUAAUA